GUGUGACUGCGUACCUUUUGUAUAAUGGGUCAGCGACUUAUAUUCUGUAGCAAGGUUAACCGAAUAGGGGAGCCGAAGGGAAACCGAGUCUUAACUGGGCGUUAAGUUGCAGGGUAUAGACCCGAAACCCGGUGAUCUAGCCAUGGGCAGGUUGAAGGUUGGGUAACACUAACUGGAGGACCGAACCGACUAAUGUUGAAAAAUUAGCGGAUGACUUGUGGCUGGGGGUGAAAGGCCAAUCAAACCGGGAGAUAGCUGGUUCUCCCCGAAAGCUAUUUAGGUAGCGCCUCGUGAAUUCAUCUCCGGGGGUAGAGCACUGUUUCGGCAAGGGGGUCAUCCCGACUUACCAACCCGAUGCAAACUGCGAAUACCGGAGAAUGUUAUCACGGGAGACACACGGCGGGUGCUAACGUCCGUCGUGAAGAGGGAAACAACCCAGACCGCCAGCUAAGGUCCCAAAGUCAUGGUUAAGUGGGAAACGAUGUGGGAAGGCCCAGACAGCCAGGAUGUUGGCUUAGAAGCAGCCAUCAUUUAAAGAAAGCGUAAUAGCUCACUGGUCGAGUCGGCCUGCGCGGAAGAUGUAACGGGGCUAAACCAUGCACCGAAGCUGCGGCAGCGACACUAUGUGUUGUUGGGUAGGGGAGCGUUCUGUAAGCCUGUGAAGGUGUACUGUGAGGUAUGCUGGAGGUAUCAGAAGUGCGAAUGCUGACAUAAGUAACGAUAAAGCGGGUGAAAAGCCCGCUCGCCGGAAGACCAAGGGUUCCUGUCCAACGUUAAUCGGGGCAGGGUGAGUCGACCCCUAAGGCGAGGCCGAAAGGCGUAGUCGAUGGGAAACAGGUUAAUAUUCCUGUACUUGGUGUUACUGCGAAGGGGGGACGGAGAAGGCUAUGUUGGCCGGGCGACGGUUGUCCCGGUUUAAGCGUGUAGGCUGGUUUUCCAGGCAAAUCCGGAAAAUCAAGGCUGAGGCGUGAUGACGAGGCACUACGGUGCUGAAGCAACAAAUGCCCUGCUUCCAGGAAAAGCCUCUAAGCAUCAGGUAACAUCAAAUCGUACCCCAAACCGACACAGGUGGUCAGGUAGAGAAUACCAAGGCGCUUGAGAGAACUCGGGUGAAGGAACUAGGCAAAAUGGUGCCGUAACUUCGGGAGAAGGCACGCUGAUAUGUAGGUGAAGUCCCUCGCGGAUGGAGCUGAAAUCAGUCGAAGAUACCAGCUGGCUGCAACUGUUUAUUAAAAACACAGCACUGUGCAAACACGAAAGUGGACGUAUACGGUGUGACGCCUGCCCGGUGCCGGAAGGUUAAUUGAUGGGGUCAGCGCAAGCGAAGCUCUUGAUCGAAGCCCCGGUAAACGGCGGCCGUAACUAUAACGGUCCUAAGGUAGCGAAAUUCCUUGUCGGGUAAGUUCCGACCUGCACGAAUGGCGUAAUGAUGGCCAGGCUGUCUCCACCCGAGACUCAGUGAAAUUGAACUCGCUGUGAAGAUGCAGUGUACCCGCGGCAAGACGGAAAGACCCCGUGAACCUUUACUAUAGCUUGACACUGAACAUUGAGCCUUGAUGUGUAGGAUAGGUGGGAGGCUUUGAAGUGUGGACGCCAGUCUGCAUGGAGCCGACCUUGAAAUACCACCCUUUAAUGUUUGAUGUUCUAACGUUGACCCGUAAUCCGGGUUGCGGACAGUGUCUGGUGGGUAGUUUGACUGGGGCGGUCUCCUCCUAAAGAGUAACGGAGGAGCACGAAGGUUGGCUAAUCCUGGUCGGACAUCAGGAGGUUAGUGCAAUGGCAUAAGCCAGCUUGACUGCGAGCGUGACGGCGCGAGCAGGUGCGAAAGCAGGUCAUAGUGAUCCGGUGGUUCUGAAUGGAAGGGCCAUCGCUCAACGGAUAAAAGGUACUCCGGGGAUAACAGGCUGAUACCGCCCAAGAGUUCAUAUCGACGGCGGUGUUUGGCACCUCGAUGUCGGCUCAUCACAUCCUGGGGCUGAAGUAGGUCCCAAGGGUAUGGCUGUUCGCCAUUUAAAGUGGUACGCGAGCUGGGUUUAGAACGUCGUGAGACAGUUCGGUCCCUAUCUGCCGUGGGCGCUGGAGAACUGAGGGGGGCUGCUCCUAGUACGAGAGGACCGGAGUGGACGCAUCACUGGUGUUCGGGUUGUCAUGCCAAUGGCACUGCCCGGUAGCUAAAUGCGGAAGAGAUAAGUGCUGAAAGCAUCUAAGCACGAAACUUGCCCCGAGAUGAGUUCUCCCUGACUCCUUGAGAGUCCUGAAGGAACGUUGAAGACGACGACGUUGAUAGGCCGGGUGUGUAAGCGCAGCGAUGCGUUGAGCUAACCGGUACUAAUGAACCGUGAGGCUUAACCUU
rnacentral:rRNA from 1 species